rnacentral:tRNA from 2 species
GGCCGGUUAGCUCAGUUGGUUAGAGCAUGGUGCUAAUAACGCCAAGGUCGCGGGUUCGAACCCCGUACGGGCCA